UUGUACCUUCCGAAUCGGCGGGGUGUAUAGAUAUAGUUUUAUAUUGGUUAUUUUACUUUUUAUAAUAAAUUAAUUUUGGUAUCGAAACUUUAUACGCUUUUAUAGCUAACUGUAUACGUUGGUAAGUACAAUUUCUAUUAAUAUUAUCAAAUACACUUUCAUUUAAAGGAAAAUAUAUGCGAAAUGUCGGGAAAAUACAUACAAUCUUCCGACUCCACGUAGGGGGGAACCCGCCUAACCAUCAGUACGAUAGGCGUCGACAGCGCUCCCAGUGUUAAUCUGUCUUCCCAAUACUAUAUGUAAAUGGUAAGUAUAGUAUUAUAGAAAUGUAUUACUUUUCUAUGGGUACCAAUGACGACGAUAGUACUGAUUAAGAUAUGGAUGUGUAAAUAAAAUAUAAAUAAAUAAUAAUAUGUUGACUGAACCAUGACAAAUUAAAUAGGUAUGUCAGCUAUAUUACCGGUUUAGAAACAAAUCGCGCACCCACCCUCCGCCUAGCCAUUACUGUGACGUAGGCAUUUCUCCAGUUCUCAUUGGUCCACCGCCGCCCCUGCCGCAAAUAGCCGCCGCCGCCGUUGAAGACUCCACCACUACUCUACCCCUCAGACAGUUGGAGAAAUGCUUACGUCACAGACAUGCGUAUCACGAGUUGCUGACAUACCUAUUUAGAUGCGGAUGCCUUAUAAUCUCAAUGUAUCUAAUAAAAAUGGAAAAAUGUUUGUUGGAUUACUUUAAGAACUUGAAAAGGACUCCUGUCGGUGUCCUAUUACCAUUGGCGAGGGAGUCCUUAGAGGGAUAUCAAUAGGACUCUAUUGGACUCCUGGUUAUAUGUUAUUUGUUAGAUUUUCUGUAGUCUAGACAGGGACAUUCAUGGGACUAAAGAGGACUCCUUGCAGUAUUCUUUUUAAUACCUGUUUUGGAGUCCUGAACGGGACACCAAUUAAUUUACUCUCCGGCCGGAAUCCUGGUGCUACUAGGGAAACUAUAGAAAAUGUAGUUUAUUUUAUUAGGUACCUAUACUUAACCUCCCCUUCCCAUUUCAUAAUUCUGGCAAAAAAGUCUGAAUAUUUUACAUACAUUUACUGUUGUAAACAGUGGUUUAUCCUAAUUAUGGUACCAACACAAUACAGUGUAGUGUAGUGAACCUUUUAGUUCUGCAGUGCAUUUGUAGUGUGUAUACCUCUGCGGUAAAGCCAAGACAAUUGACAAUAAAAUUUAACGCCAGUGUGUGGGGACCUUAAUAUUAUAUUAGAGAGCCUAGAUAAAGGCUCUCUAGACUAUAUUAUUAGCCUGCGGUUCCCAACCUUAUUUUUCUUCCAUACCCCUAAGCUAAAUAUUUUGCUAGAUUGUCCCCUCAUUAUAACUUUUAAACUUUUUUCACAUCACUAUUCUUCACAGUACACAUACUAAGAAUAAAGAUAUAAUAUACUAUAAAAAAUAACAGUAAUGUAUAUAUUUUGAAUUAAAAAAAUGAAUUAUUUUAGUAAUUUAAUGAACAAAAAUGUAGUUAUUUAGUGAAAUCCUUGUUUUUGUUUUAAGCUAGUUUUUUUUUUUUUUAAAUCGGGAUCCAAUGAUGCAAUGUAUAGUUUUAAAUAGGUAUAGAGUUGCAUUCAGCUAUUUCUGUAUUUAUUUUUGAUAAAGAUACACAAAGAAAAAGCUCUCUCGACCAGCAGACGUGUACUAGUAAACCAGGUACAUAAAAAGGGUAGCCGCUCAGGACCGCCCCCCUCCCAAAUACAUAUUCAAAUUAUUUUUACUAAGUAUCAAAACCAUGCUAUGCUUACCUAUAGUUUAAGCUCAUAAAUAAAAAAUAAAUCUAUUGUGAUACCUAACUAUUCGAUAAUAUAAUUUAUUAUAUCACUUAUAAUAUAGAUAUAUUAAUAUUAUAUUAAAUUAAAUUCCCGGUCGAGGGAUGAUGGCCUCUCUCUCCAGAUAGGUGACUGCCCGGAAAGAAAGUCAAGUUUUAUUUGUGUGAUAGUCAAUAGAUAUUUCUAAUUUUGAAUAACAAAGUGCAUAUUUCAAAAACAAACUAUUUUAAAUAGACCAAAUUCAACAUUUUCCCACCAUUAUCUAUUUUUUUUUUCGAGUAUUUCUUGAGAUCAUUUUGUGUAUCCUGGGUUGGGAACCACUGUUAUAAGCAAUACAUUAUAAUAGCCGGUAGGCAGAAGCCAUACAAUUAUGCUAAAAAAAAUUGGAGAAACCUACAAUAAACGGCUAGAAAGAAACUAAUAAAUAAAAAUAUUUUUGAUGCAACCAAAGUAGUAAAUACCUUUAGUUAGAUUAUUUUAAAAAAUAUUUUAAUUAUUUUUUAAGAAUUAUAUACUAAUCUGAAACUUGAAAUGUAAUUGUAAUUCACUUUUCAUAUUAGACAUAAAGAAAAAAGCAAUGAAUAAAAAUACAAUAUCUUGGUAAUUUAUUAACAUGGUAAAUUAAUUAAAACAUUCGAGUGAUGUAAUCAAUAUUUUGUAAACAUUUGUUGAAUAGGUAUUAACUCUUAAUAUUUGGGCUUAAUAUCAAAAGCUUCAAAUGCUCCUUCAGAAGGGUCAAUUAAACAUGGAAAAAUAUUCACUGGCGGAGGUGGGCUCAACCUGAAGAUUGGAUCAUAACGUGGACAAACUAAAAUACAUUUAAAUAAUGCGUAUAAAUAAAUUAUAAUAACUGUAAAUAAAAAUAGAGUAUUAAAUUAU